AUUGAACGCUGGCGGCAGGCCUAACACAUGCAAGUCGAACGAGUGGCGGACGGGUGAGUAAUGUCUGGGAAACUGCCCGAUGGAGGGGGAUAACUAAUGGAAACGGUAGCUAAUACCGCAUACCAUCGGAUGUGCCCAGAUGGGAUUAGCUAGUUGGUGGGGUAAUGGCUCACCUAGGAGACGAUACCUAGCUGGGCUGAGAGGAUGACCAGCCACACUGGCACUGAGACACGGUCCAGACUCCUACGCGAGGCAGCAGUGGGGAAUAUUGCACAAUGGUGUCAAGCCUGAUGCAGCCAUGCCGCGUGUAUGAAGACGGCCUUCGGGUUGUAAAGUACUUUCAGCGGGGAGGCGUUACUCGCAGAAGAAGCACCGGCUAACUCCGUGCCAGCAGCCGCGGUAAUUC
rnacentral:rRNA from 1 species